AUUGAACGCUGGCGGCAGGCCUAACACAUGCAAGUCGAACGAGUGGCGGACGGGUGAGUAAUGUCUGGGAAACUGCCUGACGGAGGGGGCUAACUACUGGAACCGGUAGCUAAUACCGCAUACCAUCAGAUGUGCCCAGAUGGGUUUAGUUAGUUGGUGGGGUAACGGCUCACCCAGGCGACGCUCCCUAGCUGGUCUGAGAGGAUGACCAGCCACACUGGAACUGAGACACGGUCCAGACUCCGACGGGAGGCAGCAGUGGGGAAUAUUGCACAAUGGGAGCAAGCCUGAUGCAGCCAUGCCGCGUGGAUGAAGAAGGCCUUCGGGUUGUAAAGUACUUUCAGCGGGGAGGCGUUACCCGCAGAAGAAGCACCGGCUAACUCCGUGCCAGCAGCCGCGGUAAUUC
rnacentral:rRNA from 1 species